rnacentral:rRNA from 1 species
GAUGAACGCUGGCGGCGUGCCUAAUACAUGCAAGUCGAGCGAACAGACGAGGAGCUUGCUCCUCUGACGUUAGCGGCGGACGGGUGAGUAACACGUGGAUAACCUACCUAUAAGACUGGGAUAACUUCGGGAAACCGGAGCUAAUACCGGAUAAUAUAUUGAACCGCAUGGUUCAAUAGUGAAAGACGGUUUUGCUGUCACUUAUAGAUGGAUCCGCGCCGCAUUAGCUAGUUGGUAAGGUAACGGCUUACCAAGGCAACGAUGCGUAGCCGACCUGAGAGGGUGAUCGGCCACACUGGAACUGAGACACGGUCCAGACUCCUACGGGAGGUAGCAGUAGGGAAUCUUCCGCAAUGGGCGAAAGCCUGACGGAGCAACGCCGCGUGAGUGAUGAAGGUCUUCGGAUCGUAAAACUCUGUUAUUAGGGAAGAACAAAUGUGUAAGUAACUAUGCACGUCUUGACGGGACCUAAUCAGAAAGCCACGGCUAACUACG